GCUCAAUCUCCUUAUUUUCUCCAACAACUUCUCAAAUGCAGUUUGCUAUCAUACCAUCUAUUUUUUCCUGGAGCAUCAUCUCCUGAGCCUUUAAUCUUUCUGUUCUAUGGGCUGUUUACUGUCUAGGUCUGCUACACAGCUGUUGUCCCGAGACUUUCCCUCACCACUAGCCUGGGAAUUCCCUUCCCCUCUCUCUUGUGUUGGAUACUGUCCUCCUCGGACUUCGUACUUCCUCUUUUCUUGUUUGGUGGAACAUAUUGCCUGAUAGCUUCUUGGGACAUAAUACAUUGGAGUAUCUGUCUGAGGAUUGAUGUAAACAGUGAAGGGUGGACAAUUAAAUAGCCGAUGAUGCUGGCUCCUACGUUAAAGACGUCUGUUUCCUCCAUUGGACUCUGAGCGUCUUUAGGGCAGAGUCUGUAUCCCAUUUAUGUCUGAACUCCCAGCACCCAGCUCGAAGUCAGGCUCGGAGUUGAAGCUCGGCAG
rnacentral:lncRNA from 1 species